CAGGCCUAACACAUGCAAGUCGAGCGGGCCCUUCGGGGCCAGCGGCGGACUGGUGAGUAACGCGUGGGAACGUGCCUUCUGGUCUGGAAUAACCCUGGGAAACUAGGGCUAAUACCGGAUACGCCCUUUUGGGGAAAGGUUUACUGCCGGAAGAUCGGCCCGCGUCUGAUUAGCUAGUUGGUGGGGUAACGGCCUACCAAGGCGACGAUCAGUAGCUGGUCUGAGAGGAUGAUCAGCCACACUGGGACUGAGACACGGCCCAGACUCCUACGGGAGGCAGCAGUGGGGAAUAUUGGACAAUGGGCGCAAGCCUGAUCCAGCCAUGCCGCGUGAGUGAUGAAGGCCUUAGGGUUGUAAAGCUCUUUUAUCCGGGACGAUAAUGACGGUACCGGAGGAAUAAGCCCCGGCUAACUUCGUGCCAGCAGCCGCGGUAAU
rnacentral:rRNA from 1 species